UACGUAGGGUGCGAGCGUUAAUCGGAAUUACUGGGCGUAAAGCGUGCGCAGGCGGUGAUGUAAGACAGGUGUGAAAUCCCCGGGCUUAACCUGGGAACUGCAUUUGUGACUGCAUCGCUGGAGUACGGCAGAGGGGGAUGGAAUUCCGCGUGUAGCAGUGAAAUGCGUAGAUAUGUGGAGGAACACCGAUGGCGAAGGCAGCC
rnacentral:rRNA from 1 species